rnacentral:rRNA from 1 species
AGAGUUUGAUCAUGGCUCAGAGUCAACGCUGGCGGCGUGCCUAACACAUGCAAGUCGAGCGAGAAAAGGGGGGCAACUCUCUGAGUACAGCGGCGCACGGGUGAGUAACACGUGGGUAAUCUGCCCUGAAGUGGGGAAUAACACCGGGAAACCGGUGCUAAUACCGCAUACGAUCACAGAGUCUGCGGAUUCUGUGAUGAAAGGAGCAAUUCGCUUCAGGAGGAGCCCGCGGCUGAUUAGCUUGUUGGUGAGGUAAUGGCUCACCAAGGCUACGAUCAGUAUCCGGUCUGAGAGGACGGCCGGACACACUGGAACUGAGACACGGUCCAGACUCCUACGGGAGGCAGCAGUGGGGAAUUUUUGGCAAUGGGGGCAACCCUGACCAAGCAACGCCGCGUGGGUGAUGAAGUCUCUUGGGACGUAAAACCCUUUCGACGGGGAAGAAACCGCAAGGUUGACGGUACCCGUAGAAGAAGCCCCGGCUAACUCCGUGCCAGCAGCCGCGGUAAUACGGGGGGGGCAAGCGUUGUUCGGAAUUACUGGGCGUAAAGGGUGCGUAGGCGGUGCUCUAAGUCGGAUGUGAAAACUCUGGGCUCAACCCAGAGCCUGCAUCCGAAACUGGAGUGCUAGAGUUCUGGAGGGGGUAGCGGAAUUCCUGGUGUAGCGGUGAAAUGCGUAGAUAUCAGGAGGAACACCGGUGGCGAAGGCGGCUACCUGGACAGAAACUGACGCUGAGGCACGAAAGCUAGGGGAGCAAACAGGAUUAGAUACCCUAGUAGUCC